AUUGAACGCUGGCGGCAUGCCUUACACAUGCAAGUCGAACGGUAACAGGUCUUCGGAUGCUGACGAGUGGCGAACGGGUGAGUAAUACAUCGGAACGUGCCUAGUAGUGGGGGAUAACUACUCGAAAGAGUGGCUAAUACCGCAUGAGAUCUACGGAUGAAAGCAGGGGAUCGCAAGACCUUGUGCUACUAGAGCGGCCGAUGGCAGAUUAGGUAGUUGGUGGGAUAAAAGCUUACCAAGCCGACGAUCUGUAGCUGGGCUGAGAGGACGAUCAUCCACACAUGGAGUGACACACCGCCCAGAUCCCUACGGGAAGCAGCAGUGGGGAAUUUUGGACAAUGGACGCAAGCCUGAUCCAGCAAUGCCGCGUGCAGGAUGGAGGCCUUCGGGCUGUAAACUGCUUUUGUACGGAACGAAAAGCCCCGGGUUAAUACCCUGGGGUCAUGACGGUACCGUAAGAAUAAGCACCGGCUAACUACGUGCCAGCCGCCGCAGUAA
rnacentral:rRNA from 1 species